GUAACGAGCGCAACCCUUGUCCUUAGUUACCAGCACGUUAUGGUGGGCACUCUAAGGAGACUGCCGGUGGACAAACCGGAGGAAGGUGGGGAUGACGUCAAGUCAUCAUGGCCCUUACGGCCUGGGCUACACACGUGCUACAAUGGUCGGUACAAAGGGUUGCCAAGCCGCGAGGUGGAGCUAAUCCCAUAAAACCGAUCGUAGUCCGGAUCGCAGUCUGCAACUCGACUGCGUGAAGUCGGAAUCGCUAGUAAUCGUGAAAUCAGAAUGUCACGGUGAAUACGUUCCCGGGCCUU
rnacentral:rRNA from 1 species